GUUGGCUCUUCCAGGCUCUGUGCUCUUUGUCAGUGCUGCCCCAGUCAAAGUCAGCUAUUGAAACAGGUCUCUGUGCUGAAAUAUCUGGACUUUGGUAGCUUCUUUGUUGUCUUACCUGGUCCACAUGCAUGCUAAUCCUGAUUAUGUUUACAGUAAAGACAUUCUUCUUGUCUUGUGUGCAUCAAACUGUUUCCCUUACAUCUUCACAGGAAUGAAACAAUUGCCAUUAUCUGAUUCUCUCAUGGAAAUGAAGUUGAGAGAGUAGCAGUCAUAGCCACUGACAGGCCUAGCAAGAAAAUGUAAUGGAGUAUUAAUGUAAAGAGGGAAUAAAACUGCAUAUGUUACCACUCCUGAGGGAAGGUGUGUGUUAAGAAAACAGGUUUCAGAGGCUAGGUGUGUCACCCUGAAAGGUGAAAAUUAUUUGAACUAUGAGUUAGCCUGCAUGUAUUGGUGUCUUUUAUUUUGUGAUCUUCAGUUACCGUUUCAGAAAUACUGCUCAUCACUUUUGAGAGGAGUUUCCCAUGAGGUAAUGGCAUGAGUCAGCAUGGAGGCUGUACAGCACAGACACAACGAAACAGAUAUGCAUGCAAAAAUGAUAAAACUGUAGGGAUAUAUUUCUGUAUCUGCACAUCCCUGGAAGAAACUUCAAGGAAUAAGCUAAGAAAAUUUUUUAAUUGUUGGUACCUGCCAGACAGUGAGUGCACAAAGUCAAGUUUGGUCUGUUGACAACUUUUAGCAAUAUUAGUGGAGGAGACAUAUUUGUUCCUGGUUUGGUAGAAACUGGCCCGUAUAUGUGAAGAUGUUUUGUUGCAAGAAGAAUUCUUUUUCCCUUAUCAGAAAUACAUCAUUAAUCUAAUAAUAAAAGCAUAUAAAUAUGCA
rnacentral:lncRNA from 1 species